rnacentral:rRNA from 1 species
AGAGCGGCGUACGGGUGCGGAACACGUGUGCAACCUGCCUUUAUCUGGGGGAUAGCCUUUCGAAAGGAAGAUUAAUACCCCAUAAUAUGUUGGAUGGCAUCAUUCGACAUUGAAAACUCCGGUGGAUAGAGAUGGGCACGCGCAAGAUUAGAUAGUUGGUGAGGUAACGGCUCACCAAGUCUACGAUCUUUAGGGGGGCCUGAGAGGGUGAUCCCCCACACUGGUACUGAGACACGGACCAACUCCUACAGGAGGCAGCAGUGAGGAAUAUUGGACAAUGGGUGAGAGCCUGAUCCAGCCAUCCCGCGUGAAGGACGACUGCCCUAUGGGUUGUAAACUUCUUUUGUAUAGGGAUAAACCUACCCUCGUGAGGGUAGCUGAAGGUACUAUACGAAUAAGCACCGGCUAACUCCGUGCCAGCAGCCGCGGUAAUACGGAGGGUGCAAGCGUUAUCCGGAUUUAUUGGGUUUAAAGGGUCCGUAGGCGGAUCUGUAAGUCAGUGGUGAAAUCUCACAGCUUAACUGUGAAACUGCCAUUGAUACUGCAGGUCUUGAGUGUUGUUGAAGUAGCUGGAAUAAGUAGUGUAGCGGUGAAAUGCAU